rnacentral:rRNA from 1 species
GACGAACGCUGGCGGCGUGCUUAACACAUGCAAGUCGAGCGGAAAGGCCUCUUCGGGGGUACUCGAGCGGCGAACGGGUGAGUAACACGUGAGUAAUCUGCCCUUCACUCUGGGAUAGCCACCGGAAACGGUGAUUAAUACCGGAUACGACACGUCCAGGCAUCUGGUGCGUGUGGAAACUUUUUGGGUGGGGGAUGUGCUCGCGGCCUAUCAGCUUGUUGGUGGGGUAAUGGCCUACCAAGGCUUCGACGGGUAGCCGGCCUGAGAGGGUGGCCGGCCACACUGGGACUGAGACACGGCCCAGACUCCUACGGGAGGCAGCAGUGGGGAAUAUUGGACAAUGGGCGGAAGCCUGAUCCAGCAACGCCGCGUGAGGGAUGACGGCCUUCGGGUUGUAAACCGCUUUCAGCUCUGAAGAAGCGAAAGUGACGGUAGGAGCAGAAGAAGCACCGGCUAACUACGUGCCAGCAGCCGCCGUAACAC